UGUCAAGAAAGAAAACUACUAUUCCACUUUUUAGUUGCACCCUCUGGUGGCAAACAUAAUUGCAAUGUGACAACUUCUCCAUGUGACAACAAGCCCCGGUCUCCCCUAGUGGGGCAGAAUUUAAAGGUAACACUUUAUGUAAACUUUUUAUAAUGAGAUAUUUACACAUUUAUGAAGCCUUAUACAUGCAUCUAUAAAGCUUUAUUACAACCUUUAGGAGUGUUUAUAGUCAUUCAUGAUCGCAGCAAUGUGUUAUUCAGCACUCUGUAAACAGCCAGCCAUUAAUAUUUUUUUACACUAUCCCUUAAAAAGAAAUCUGUUCUCUUUAGUUUUUAUUUGUACCCAUUUUAAUGAACAGGAGAAUAGUUGUAACUUCGGUAUUCACGAAUAGGGAUCCCAAAUAAAUCCAUAAAUGAAUAAAAGUAUUGAGUCAGUAGUCAUGCGGUAGCAUUUUCUGAACUGCUGUAAGAAAUACAUGGUAUUAAUUUGAUGAAAUAAGAAAUAACUCCUGUUUACAUUGAUUUACUCUAUGGUUUCACAUUUUUAAGGUGCUGACCAUAAGAAUUAAAAUAACAAUGAAAUUGAACUAAGGAGAAAUGCACAGUAUUUAAUCAAAAAUGUUUUUAUUUUAAUAAUUAAGAGUAAAUCCAACCCUCAAAUCUACUGACACACUAAUUAAUUGUCUUUCUUAAUUUUCCAACCAAAUAUUCGAUUUUGUCAUCAGUUGUGAGUACAGAUGGGAUUGGUUGUGACUUUUCUUUUUGAACACAAGAUGGCAGCAAAAGUCUGUUUCAGGAUCAUCAGCUAGUACAGUGACUCAAAUAAAUCCAAUCAUGUGGUUUACUGGGAGUCGGAGACAGUGUUAAAUUGUGUUUAUUGCCUGUGGCACCCUGUUCCACUUUAGUCGAGCAUGAAUAAGCAGAAAAAUUCUAUCCAAUUAGGAAGCAAUUGCAUUGACUAAAGAAAAAAAAUCCAAUCUGAGAUAGGCUAAAUAUUUCAUCAAUAAAGAAAAACAGAGGAAGUUUUGACAAGAUUUUUUCCUCUGAGUUCCAAAAUAAUCAACAUAUUAAUUCAGAAAAACAGGGUAGAAUUUUUUUAUUUACACAGUUAUCUCUUAUUCUGAGAUAAUUAUCUCAUUAAUACAGGAAUUGAAGGUCGAUUUUUUUUCUCAAGAAAAAAAAUAAGAUUAAAAAAACAGUUUUUUUUACAUAUUAUUAUUAUUAUUAUUAUUAUUAUUAUUAUUUUAGGUUAAGCCAUGACAUUGUUACUUGAGCGAUAAUGUCAACUUGAGAGAUUGCCACCCAACGGUCAGAAAUGUUCAUUUGCAGGGAGUAUAUAAAAUUAUUUUGUUGUAAGAAUUUUUUAGCUUUGGUGUCACUGUUUAUGUCAAAGGAAGCCAUGAAAUACAAAAAGUCAUUGCUAAACAAUUGAAUAUUGACACUUUUGUUAUGCGUGAAAAAAGGUGAAUUCAUGAUGUUGAAGGCUAUGUUGUGCUUAUCCAGCAGUUAGGACGCUGACACAGAGGAGGUAUUUGCUGGGAAAUAUGGAGGAUUACAAGAAAAACAAAAACAUAGAUGAAAAGGGGGUUUCUGAGUGAGCUUCAUAACCAAGUAAGUCUCAUUUGCUGUAAGAAUAAGAAAGUGGACCCUGUUCGGUGCUGUUAGCUAAUGGCUAACGUUAGCUAAAGCUGCCAGUUAGCUGGAAACUGUCCGCUAAGUAUCCAGCCAAACCACGGUCGUUUUUGUGUCAUUUUUAGAUAGCUUACUUGUGGCCGUGAUUGUGUCUGUGUCUGAAUUUAGUCUGUCAUAAGUUUUAUUAGAAUUGUGUUCAGACCAAAAAAAAGAUCAUUUUAAAUUUGUUUUAUACAUCAAUUGUGGUAUGAAUGAGCUACAACAUGAGGUCAAAAACCGAGCAUAAAAGUCCACCAUUUUAGCUUAGAGGACUAAUAAAGUCAUCAUAGUAGUUCUGGGGUCACUGAGAAAGUAAAGUAGUCUGAUGAGAGGAUCAGAGUUCAACUUACCCCACUCCUAUGGUCAACUUACCCCAUACACAGGGUAAGUUGACCCCCUUUUUGCAUUCUAUAUUAUCAAGACAGUUAUGUUUACACUCAUUCUGUUGGUUUGCAGGGAUGCACGACAUCUUGAAAUAUAUGCAGAUACACUAGUUAGAGACAAAACUAUGAUUGCCUUGAUGUAGUGAUCCAAAAUAUGAAAAAUGGCUCAUCUUACCCCACUCUCCCCUAUACUGUGUGAGAAAAUGGCUGAGAUUUACUUCAAAAUACAACCAGACUCAUUUAAAAUGUCAUUUUUUCUUGGCAUUUCAAGUCAAAGCUCUUUAUAUCACAACUGGAGACAGCAGAGGAUGAAUACUUAAAAUUCAUGGGGGGAGCUGGGAUUAUUGAGAUACACCUAUAUUGGCUCAUCUAAAUAUUUAUCAGACACCAUCUCAUAGAGCCCCUCCUCCCCAAAGAGCCUCCAAAAGUGGACCCGAGCUGAAUCCAUCACUUCCCCAUGUGCACAAACCAACUGAGAUGACUGAAUUCUCAACUUAUUCACACUUCUCCCUCUUUCACUUCUUUGUUCAACACACACACACACACACACACACACACACACACACACACACACACACACACACACACACACACACACACACACACACACACACACACACAUGACUACAAACAAAAACACUGCCACAUCCCCUUGUUACCCAUCAGUCCAUCCGGUCCCUGAGGUGUCGGCCAUCACUGUCUCUCGUAGGCGUUUCCCCAGCAACCACAGCCUCUCCUGUCAGACUACAGAGAGGGCUUUUUUCUGUUUGCUUUGGAGGAUUAAUGACUGUAUUGUGCUGGUGUAGGUGUGUGAUAGAUAAUAUGAUGAAAACAUUACACAAUGGAUUACACUCUGUGUGCUUCUAUAAAAGGAUGCAAAGUCUUUUCAUUUCACCAUCACAGGAAACAUGCUCCUGGGUUAAUUUGGUAGCAAAUACAGACUGAAUCCAGACCAGCUUUUCAUGCAUGCAUAUUUCUGGGGAUCAUUCGCAUUAUUUUACAUACCAAUAUUCCAUGUAGAGCAGCUACUGCAAGGGAUCUAUUUUGCAAUCAUGGAUAAUUCAUGAUCUGCACAGACAGGGCAUAUGAAAAUCCUUUGAAGGCGGUGUGGGACUGGGGGAAAUUCCCCUUUCUUCUACUUUGCCUUCACUUUGUAAAGGCUCUGCUUCUUCUGUUUCAGCGCCUCUGAAUUCACACAGUGAGGUAAUGGUGUUUUCUAUCAGGCAGGAUGACUCACCUGUAGUGUAGGAGCUAAUAACGGCUUCCUGCAUUACAUUUCCAUCCCUCUGCUGCAGUUUGACUCAGAUCUGUGAUGGCAUGUUAAGUGUUGAAGGCUAUAGAAAAUCUUUAAGAGGAAGAAUCAGAGCUGCUGAUGUCUGACAUACUGACAAAUGAGUGUUUCACACCUGCCUGACUUUAGCUGUCUGUCGGAGUAGUGGAAAUGUGUCACCUGUGAUCAGCAUAUUCAAACACUGAAGAGGUUCAGUCAUUUUCAAAUGCGACAUAAUAAAUGAUUUUCUUUGGUGGCAGUCUGACCACAUUAAACACUUGUUUUUGAAGUGUUUAAUGUGUUUUAUUGUUAUGGUCUGUUUUUUGUUUCUCCAUUCCGAACUAGCCUAGAACAGUCAAUGGCUAUAACCAAACGUGUUAUUUAUUUAUUUAUUUAUUCAUUUUGAAUCUUUUUUAAUGAUUUUUUUGAACAAUAAUACAUAUAAACAAUCAGUAGUACACUGUAAAAAAGAGCGAGUGUAAAAUGAGAUAUCAAGUGCCUAUAAUAACCCCUCUUCCCCCUCAUCCCCUAACCAUCCCACCCCACCCCGCCCCACAACAUCACAAAGACAAGAAAUAAGGAUACACAUACAAAUAUACAAAUAAAGUAAAUUAAUAGAUGACAUUAAAAAAAAGACAAAUAUAUAUAUAUAUAUAUAUAUAUAUAUAUAUUUAUACACACACACAUUCACAUAAAUAAAAAAAAUAAAUGAAAUAAAACAAAUAAUCAAUUAAAAAUGAAUAAUUAAAUGAAAAGAGAAUAUCUCAAGUAGCAGUACUGUCAUCUUCAGAUACUAGGUCGAGGUUAUUUGCAUAGUCUACAAAAGGUUUCCAAGUUUUGUUAAAAGUUGCAAGGGACCCCUUUAAUGAGUACCACAUCUUUACGAGUUUCAGACAGCUUAAAAUCUCCUGUAUUCAUUUAUUAUGUGUUGGAGGAGAGGCAUGUUUCCACUUCAGAAGAAUGGCACGUCUGGCCUGAAGUGUUGUACAGGCAAUGGCACGUUGGAUAUUUGAGGGAGUGUUGGGGUUCUGGGGCAGACCAAAAAGUGCUGUCAGUGGGUCUGAGUUAAUAGGUAUAUGAUAGAUGCGUUGUUUUUAAGUAUUUGUCUUAUUAUAUCUCAGCGUAUAACUGUUUACUUAUUUUCAAUUUGAGCUAUUAGUGGAAGUGUUUUGAGUCCCAUGAAACUGUAUACCAGAAAGCCUAAAAACAAACUGUAUUGAGUAAACCACUGUACUAAUAACAAGUGACUGUACCAAACUCAGUCAGAAGAGAGCAGUACAAAUGAACAAUAGUUGAUUUUUCUAAUUGGCUGUACGUGUUAAAGUGCUAUGGUUGCGUGUAGCUGCUGCCUGCUACUACACAGUUGUUUGCUACUUGGUUCUUAUUCAGCACAACUUGUUCAGCGCAAAGCAGACCUGCAGCAAUUCCCCUUUUCAUUGGCUAUUCAUAUAGUCUACCAAAACAUGGCAGAGUGAGGACUAUCAAAAAGCAUAUUGGCCAUGUUUUAGAUUGAUAUUGAGGGAAAUUAAUUUUCAAUAUAUAUCAUUAUCGUUUUAUCGCCCAGCCCUAAUUGAAGCUUAAUAACUCAAAGUUAAUUUUGAGUUUCCACAGUGUCAGAGUAUUUUCACUGUGUCGUACUUGUACAUUUACCAAAGAAAAGGCUCUGAUUGCCUCCUGAGCAGGCCUGCUGUGUCAGCGGUCAGCUCAUUGUUGACUCCAGUCUGACCCUUUCCAGCACGUUUCAUCCACACUAUGUGCGCCGUAAUGACUGCAAUUCCACUGCUAAUUAAUAAUCACUGUCAAAUCCGAAAAAGGCGGUCUGAGGGGUUGGAGAGGACAAAGGAGGCAAUUGAAUUACCGUCCAUUUUACUGAUUUCAUUUCCACGGUGGAGGCCUCGUGGAGGUAAUGGUUUCUGGCAACGAUGUGGCCCUUAGUCCUGUUCACUGGAGCUGCAACAUCCCCCAGGGUUUCAUUGGCAGUUAGAGCUAUUGUUUCUCCUCCCUUGAUUUCGUUUAAUGGAAAAAAAGUAAUGCUUGUCGUUAACCUCGCGUACUGUUCUUUUAUGCAUAAAAAUAAUCCAGGCUGUUUGACUGGGCUAAACAGUGUCCUUGUGCAACCAAGAGGGUCAAUCAGAUGUGAAAUGAGAUAAUUAAGAAUUCAUAUACAAGAAAUGGGUCUUUAUUUAGGCUACAAGUACAGAGAUGCUGCAGGACAUUACAGUGGAAAUCAGGGAACAGGCCAGAGACCUUUAAUUAGAAGGGCAGGAGGGGGGGGGGGGGACGAAGGGCAGGAGGGGGAGGAAGCUGCUGCAGUAUUUAAGGGUGAGAGGCGUGGGAGACUCCUCCAGGGAGGGGGCGCUUUACUUUGAAGUCUGUGUUGGGACCCUGUGCAGCACAAAAUCCACCCCAAUCCUCCGUCUAUCAGGCUUUCAUUACAGCCGUGUUUGCUCAUUAUAUUUUCAUGGGCUGAUCCCAGACGCCUGAGUGAAAUCUUUGAGCCCAGGAGAGACAAACUCCAGGGGAAUAGAGAAUGAGGCAGAGACGGAGCUCCAGGUCGGCUGUCGACACCCAUUCAUGUGUCUGACAUCAAAACUGCUGCUCUGAAUCAAGUCGAAUCUUUGACAAGUUAUUAUGAUUCUUUGAUUGACAGGUCACAGUGAGCUAGUUUGUGCCGUGCUAGAUUCACUAUUCAGUCUGUUUUCUUUAAGGACCUUUAGAUUCUCUUUAUUUCCAUGUAAGACAUAUCUUUUAUUCGGUCAAAGCCCUACCCUCAGAUCAUGUCAAGUAAAUAACAAAAAACAACAUUUUUUAAUGACUUCCUUGUCCUUUAAUUUGUUUCCUUUGAUAUGGAAUAAGGUCACUUUGUGUAUGUGUAGGAUAAUGAGGUACAAAAAUGUCAAAACAUGGAGGAUCUUCUUGGUAAUGCACAGUCACCAACAUUAGUACUAUUGCUUUUAAAGAAGUCCUUUUGAACUUUUGAUCAACUUUUUUUUUUUUUUAAACAUACUUUUAGACAUUUUUUGUCUCAUUAGGUAGGAAAACUGAAGAGAGACAGGGAAUGUAGGGAGUAGAGAGUGGGGGAAGACAUGCAGCAAAGAGUCAUGGCCAGAAACUGAACCAGCAACCGCUGCAACACAUACCAUAGCCAAGGACCAAGGCCAUUGGCACCCCUAUAUGUCACUUGUUGAUAAUAAGUUUAUGACAGUAGAACCUUAAAGAGAUAUUCCAGAGUAAAAUUAAUUUAGGGUCAAACACACCGUAACACCGAGUUAGACACCCCCUCAAGAGAUGAAUGUUGCUGACCGCUUGCUUCUCUAGUUAUACCAACUUUAGUAACGACCACAGGAUAGCAAUACACAGCGGUCUGAGGAGCCAUAAACAAACCUCAACCAAAACGCCACUCUAUAGCCACAAAUAAUGCUCAGAACAGCACCGAACUUCAUCAACAGUACAUAUAGGGUCCCAGCCAUAGUACUAGCCACCAAACAUCUUUUUAACUUUGCCUGAUUUCUUAAGCAAAGAGACCAAACACAACUCACCUACUCUCUUCCAGCAGCUGCUUGUUUGUAGGGAGACCUCAGGCCAGUCCAUUACGGACUACAGUGGGGUGACGCAGCUCAAGGAAGAACAUUUAUGAUAAUUUCUUCAUGGAAAUACAAUCAGACCGAGACGCUAAGGCAGAAGAACUACCGCGUCUGCAGUGUAAAAUGAUUAAUAUGGUGAUUAUUACUUCAAGGAAAUGAUAAAGAAAUGAUCCACAAAUGUGCAGAAGUGCUAGCAACUGUCAGGAUAACAAGUGUGAGACAUUAUUCUGAAUCAUAAUAAAAUACAAGCCCAAGUCUUGAUGUUAUAAAGGAAAUAAUAUUUGAGUUUUAAAAAGGUCUUAAACUGUGUCAAUACAUGUGAUGCAAUUUUAAAUCAUGGGUCCUAGUUCUCAAAAAUCGCGAUUGUCACGAUCCGGAGUCAAACAAACAGAAAAAGGACCCAAUUGCAGGAAAAAAAGUGGUUUAAAGAAAAAAUAACUAAAUAAAAAGCAACAAAAACGUACGUCUAAAUGUCCAACUCAAAAAUCCAAAAUCUAAAAACCAAGAAAAAUCACAAGGGGAAAAAAACACAAGGAGAUACUAGAGUUACACAGAGGCAUGGACAUCCACAGGAAGACAAGGACUUUAGAUACACAGGAAAACGAGCAACAAGAGGCAGGUGAGACACUUAGACAGGUGCAGACAAUCACAGAGGAGGGAAACUGAGGUAGUAAAACAAGACUAGAAGCACAGGGAAUAAACUUUUACAAAAUAAAACAGGAAACACUGAAAACUGAUAAUGAAUAAAACACUGAGAACAAGAGGGAACUGGGGUCAGACAGAAACUGAAAACUCAUAAGACAGGACUAAAGGGGAACAGGAACAACAGGGCACAGAAACACUAGGAAAAAUCACAAAGAAAAUACACUCAAAUGACCAAAACCAGGGGAAACUGAAAACCAGAACAUAUCACAUGACACGAGAUAUCAAUAUCAAUCAAAUCAACUGUGAUUAUGAAACAGGGAAGACAUGCAACCACAUGCACAGAGUGGAAUCAAAUCCAAGCUGCCUGCUAAUGUGGACCACAGCCAGGCCACUAACCUAUUGGUACCCGUGAUUAUGAUAUUUUCUAUUAUCCAGCAGCCCUAACCUCAAUCAAAAUGCCCAUCUUAGUUUAAGUGUACAUUCCAUAGGGAAUCUUUUCAGCAAUCAGAAACCCUUUUUUUUGCUUCAAUUCUUGUAUGUUUUAUCUAUGUGAUCUAGCUCUGUGAUGAGAUGCAUUAGAGGAGUGUUGCACAGAAACCAAAUCCGUCUCUCUCUUCCUAACCAACAACCAGCCAAGCAGCUGUCUAUAAGCUGGGCUAAACGUGCUGCAGUCUCCGGUCAUCUCUGAACUCUUAUCGUUUUUACUUUUCAGACGUGUCAGUGUGGCUAAAAUUGAUGUCUUGUCAGAUGAUGUUCUGGCUGUUUAAAACAUGAUUCCAUCGAUUCCUUUCUGCCAGCGCGUCUAUUAUCCGCCGCUCAUGUACACCUCAUGUGCGUGCCCUUCCUGUUGUACUUGCUUGUCACUUAUUUCAAUAUGGCUGUUUCAUAGGGAGAUGAUAAAGCCAUUAUCUAGCCUAUUCAAAAGCUGUCACACGCCGGCGCCGGCUGGGAAACAAUUAAUUUUCUCCAGUGACAAUGCCUCUGCCGCUCCUUGAGUUGAGAUUACAUUUCUUUGUCAAUCUGAAUUUGAAAAUGUAUAUUUCACAAACGGCUGUGCGAUGUUCAUUUGGCGCACAUGUAGCUUUGCUCUCAAUCCAUUUGAUUCCCCUCAGUGGGGCCCCCGAGCUGUCAGCGCCAGAGUCAGUGGGAUGCUGUGGAUGGUGACAAACUGCAGAGGAUGACAGAUGAAAGAUGACGGCGAGCGAUUGUGCUGUGCUGCUGGCAGGCAGGGAUUCACCUUUAUGUGAGCACUGAAUCAUAUUUUACAUACAUUUAAAAGAGCGUGCACGUCACUUUACUGCCUUUUAAGGCCACAGCACAGCGACUUAGUCUACUUAUUUGAGACUUGAACGACAUAAAAUUGCAAAUUCUAUUAAAUCUAAACAUAAACAGUCCAUAGAAGAAUAUUUCCCCUUUUUCUAUCGUAACAGAUAGUCCGUACAUCAUUACAAUCAGAGGGAUCUUAAAUCUAGUUUAUCUUAAAGGGAUAGUCCGGACUACGGACUACAGCGGGGUGACGCAGCUCAAGGAAGAACAUUUUUCAUUUCCAUGAUUAUUUCUUCAUGGAAAUGCAAUCAGACCGAAAAUGAUUAAUAUGGUGAUUAUUAAUUCAAGGAAAUGAUAAAGAAAUGAUCAUAAGUGUUCUUCCUUGUCACCCGGCUGUAGUCCUUAAUGGACUGGCCUGAGGUCUCGCUACAAACAACCGGCUGCUGGAAGAGAGUAGGUGAGUUGUGUUUAGUCUCUUUGCUUAAGAAAUCAGGCAAAGUUAAAAAGAUGUUUGGUGGCUAGUGCUGUGGCUGGGACCCUAUAUGUACUGUUGAUGAAGUUAGGUGCUGUUCUGAGCGUUAUUUGUGGCUAUAGAGUGGUGUUUUGGUUGAGGUUUGUUUAUGGCUCCUCAGACAGCUGUGUACUGCUAUCCUGCGGUCGUUACUAAAGUUGGUAUAACUAGAGAAGCAAGCAGUCGGCAACAUUCAUCUCUUGAGGGGGUGUCUAACUCGGUGUUACGGUGUGUUUGACCCUAAAUUAAUUUUACACAGGAAUAUCCCUUCAAUAUUUUAUCAUUUUAACACAGAGGGUUAAUAACAAAAAGGCAGAGGAUGAACUUCUCCACUUUCUAAAAUUUCUUGGAGAGGAACAACACUCAAACCCUCUGAGUCUGUACAUGGACAGAGCUGGUGGGGAGAAAACAUUUUUCAUCAUUAAAAAUGUAUGGUGUAUUCAGCACAAAAUAUGUCACCACUAUCUUACUCCACACUGCUUUCCAUGAUCUGCUUUUUAUGAAAAAUGUAUGUGUUGUUGUGCUUGAGAGCUCAUGCGCAGCCAGACUUCAGUUCGAUUAGGGGAGAAAUCAAAGCUUGGAUCCUCAGUGAGAAAUAAUUCAUCUGCACUGAGACGCAUUUAGAUUCCCAAAAAAGUAACAUGACAUCGGAUAAAGUGGAGGAUCCCUCUCCUCCCACAGCGUGAGGAUACAGACAACAGAAAUACAAUAAAUCUGCAGACUGUGUGCAGACUGGUCCUGAAAAUACAACAAUAAAUCAUUAAUUACCCCACAUGGCUGAGGGAUUCAAGUUCUUAAAGAGCGGUGUAAAGUAAAAACACCUCUUUUAGUGUGAUUGAUGGAUUUCACUUUGGACUGAGAUGCAUCUUAAUGCCUCUACUGUCCAUAUUUCCUUGAGAAGACUCAGAUUUAUAGCAGAAAACCUGCUGAAGGCCUCACCCCCCUCCUCUCAAACAACUAUUAAUCACCUACACCUGGAUUAGAGGUGCAUAAAUUGCCAUAAUUAAUAACCAUAAACCCCCCAGGGAUUUUAUGCAUAUUAUCUCCUUGGUGGAAAUCUGAGCAUAGAUGCGCUGAACUAGCCUCUAAUAAACAGUCAAACUUUGGUGCUAUUUUCUCCUUGAGAUAACUUGAAAUGAUCUAUUGUAUGCAGAACUUAUAGGUGACUAUCUGAUGAGGAAGGUGAAGACACCUUCCUCUUGUCUGUGUUUUGCUGUAUUUACAGAUUAACACCUGUAGGGGGUACUGCACACCUCUGAACGUGCACGACCUGUGCCGAGUGUUUUUAAAAGGCUCCAGUGAUCACAGGAAUGAGACUGUUAAAUAGAAGAGUAAGAAAAUUAAGACAAUAGACCCGACAGAAUGAGGCCCUCUGUGUUGUCAUUUUUAGUAUUUACACACACACAGUCCUCAUAUUUCAGAGUUCUCAGUGAUCACUUCAGUUUCCCAAAAUACAGCCGUUUGAUUUUGUCAUUUAAUCUUCCCUUUAGUCAUUGUCUCUCAAAACAACCAGAGUUACUGUCUCAUUGUUUUGUGCAUCUACAGACAGACAGGCAGUCAGCAGCUGUGGAACUUCACUCAGACUCAGAUUACAGCAAGGAUCCAUGUGCACUCGUGCUUGUCCAGUGAAGCUGAUCCUGCAAAUAAACAAAUAAAUAGAGAGACACUGAGAGCUGAAAACUGUGAAGACACACAGUUCUCAACUGGCUUUUCUGGUUUCCUGAUCCAGCUUCUGAAAGUCGAAGAAAGUGGGCAAAACAGUGACAUUCAGUGACAGCAGGGACUUCUGGAGUUUUUACGACAGGCCAUCUUUCAGUUCUGUAUUCCUGUUGUAAUAGCAGGUCUGGGCUAACAUUUGAUGCUGCUUUAGUGAACAUGAAACACUGCUUUAACUGGAGCAUAACCCCAAUUUUCACCGCAUCCGGAAUGGCUCUGAUCUGGAACAGCAGCGUUUUUUGCCGUCUGCCAAUUCCUACCAGAUCUGUUUGUGAGGCAAAUUUCGAGUUGGAUUACGGACAGUAGGAAUCGUGAGAACUCACAAAAACCUGGGGAUUCACGUGCAAUAACAAGUUGUCUCUAGCCACAGAGGCUUACCAUAUAAGCAGUAGAUUGUGUCCUUUCAGAGGAGGAAAUCUACUUCUAGACUUCAAAAAUCAGCAUCCUCUUAUCCAUGGUGUCAUCGGGGUGAAAUGACGUCUAAAAACCUUUCACUUGUUCAUCCCUGCCUGUUUGCAUGGUGUAAAAUACUAUCUGUCUGAAACAGUGUUUUAUUUUGUGUCUGUGCUCGACUUCCUUUCCAGCACGGGUUAAUCUGUGCUGAAUUUAUCCGGCAUGCUACAGCAUCCGGAAAAAUAGAACUCUUGCGAUCAGCGGCUGAAUGGAAAGAAGCUGAUGGAAAUUGACACAUUAACUUAAAUGGUUACGAUCAGUGACAAAAGGUGGAUGCGGCCUUUUUGUAGCCGUUCCAGAUGUGGUGGACAUUGGGGGUAAUAGCGGUACUGGUACCUGAAUUUAUCUGCAUACUAGGGCUGGGCGAUUCGGCCUCAAAUCAAUAUCACGAUAUAUUGAUCAGUUGACCUCGAUAACUAUAUAUGGAAGAUAACUACUCCACAAGCUGCUCCUCCCUCCCACAUUAACUACGUCUACUUCAGCCGCUACUCAAGCUGCUACAACUUUUGAACCGUCCUCCAUCUCCUCACCUGUCUUUCCUUCUUUGUUACAGACUGGAUUGGGUGGAGUCACGUCUCUGAUGUAAGACAGCAUCUUAAAGGGACAUGAGACCAUAGCCUACCUACACACAUCCAAAACCUACUUUUUUUAAAUUUACUUUUCUGACACUGAAUAUACCGAUAUGGGCAAAGUGACGUUGGUUAUUGUCGUAAAUUUCGGUAUCGGUAGAUUUUCGGUUUAUCGCCCAGCCCUAUUGCACACCAUGUGUUGGAUGCAAAAGGGCUUUUAUGUAUGAUCUUGGUUAUGGAGACUCAGAGUAGAUGACAGUGAGGACUAUUGGGUGUUGAACACUAGAAGCUCACACAUGCUCUUUUAUGCGUAGAGAGUAAACUUUUGUGCCACAUUAUUUCCCCUGUGUUCUCAGAAAGGCUUUAAGAAACGGGUUUACAGUUGUAUUCCAGCUUUGUGUCGUUUUCCUCUCUGGCCUGUAAAUAUAUUCAUGCUGUGGCCCCCUGUCUCCUCCUCAGACAAUCAUUUGGUCUUCUGGCAGCUUUGGCAGCAAUCACUGGAAUGACCCGGCCUAAUGUAGCGAGGAGAUCAGUAGACCAGGGUAAAAAUCAUCCCUCACUCACACUCCAUCACACACACUCAUGCACAUGCAGCAGAAACAUCUGCCACAGGCUGAACAAAGGAGCGGAGAGUCUAAACUGGAUCAUCACACAGAGCCGAUACCAGCGUGUUUGUUCACAGCCCAGCAGAUUUCUCCAAAUGUUGGUGUUAUUUUGUCUCUCUCCUCUCUCCUGGGUUAGUAUACAGGGUCUACUCUUGCUUUCACCCCUCUGAAGCAGCUUUGAUCUAAUGCUAGGUGACUGAUGCUGUGAAAAGAGCCCGAGGCCGUGUUCUUGUAAGCAUUAAAAUGUGUGUUUCAUCAUGACAGAGGUCUCCCAGAUGAAUAUCGCAGGGAAGAAGUGGGAAGGCAGUAUCGUCAGGGGUUAAAAAAAGUCAUCUUUGUAAGGGGUGGGAAAAUGUUGCUUCUGUUUUGUAUGGUAGCCCUGAGAGCUCAAUCAACUGCAACUUCAUAAAAAGAGAAGAAUAAAGACAGAAAGUGCCUCCAAAUUUACCGAUACCAUAAUUUACGACAAUAGCCAACGUCAUUUUGCCCAUAUCAGCAUAUUCAGAGUCAAACAAAUAAAUAAAUAAAAGUUGGUUUUGGAUGUGUGUAGGUAGACUGAGGUCUCAUGUCCUAUGUCAGAGACGUGACUCCACCCCAUCCAGUCCGUAACAAAGAGGGAAAGACAGGUGAGGAGAUGGAGGACGGUUCAAAAGUUCUAAAGUAGACAAAGUUAAUGUGGGAGGGGGUGAGCAGCUUGUGGAGUAGUUAUUGUCCAUUUAUCCUUAUCAAGGUGAACUGAUCAACAUAUCAAGAUAUUGAUUUGGGGCCGUAUCGCCCUGCCCUAAGCACAAACAAGCUCACCAAGUGUUCUGUGUCUCGUGCUGGUUGCCAGGUUUUUCUUAGACAGCACUUAAGGAGUUAUUGAUCAUCAAAUGAUUAACCUCUUUAGUAUGAACACAUGGUUGGCAGGGCUUGGAAAAGUGUGACCUCUCGAAUUUAAUCUGUGCAAUCUGAAAAUAUAUUAGGGAGCAAUUUUGCAAAUAGUUGUUGAAGUUCAAACAUUUUGGACAUUCACUUAUACGGUGACUGAUAGUUGACGCCUGUCAUCGGGUGCAGUAGUAUGCUCCAUUGUGAAAAUAGCACGAUGCACUGUUUACUGUAAAGCCUGUGAGAUGGAGGUUGUUGGGAACACUGUGCUUGUCUUGAAUCUGCGCAUUUGAGGCACAAGAACUUCACUAAAUACAGAGAGAAGGACAAUUUCAGGCCCAACUUGAGCUCAUUUUCCAGAGUUGGUCUUUUAAAAAACCUAGAAACUCCUAAAACUAACACGUUAGAAGGCCCGUUUCUGAAUUUGUUGUGAUUGUUUCGACAGUCUGAAUUGACUUAAAACAGCUGAAUGUGUCCAUUUUUUGUAAAACUGGGUUAUUUAGGGAGCUGCCCUCUGGUCACACUUGUAAUAUGUUCUGUAAUAUAUGUUUUAUCUGAGUACCUGCAUCAGGACUGUAGAUGAAGAAGAGUCUGAAGGUGAACAAUGUCAAAUCUAAGAUAAGAUAAACGUAACUCAUCUUUGUUUGCAGAGUGUAGAUAAUAUUAGGAGAACCAUCUGUUAGUGCUCCUUGCAGGUUAAACACCCACAGGUAUGUGUUGGUUACUCAUGGCUCAGAUUGAGUGGUUAUGUAUCAGUUCUGGGGGUAUCUCGAUAUGAUUUUGAUAUUGGAUAUUGGGCCGAUAUCAGCAAAAAUCGAAUAUCUGAUUAUAUCAGCCUGCAUCUAAAAUCUCCGAUAUAAGCACUCUUGAUACAAGCAGUCCAUUCCAGACUCCGCUUCAGCACCUCAAUCUAGCAGCACCCGGAUCCAUCAUGUAGAUCCCAUGUGAUCACAACAACAGUGUGUACGAGGGUACAGACAAAGUAGAGAGGAGUAGGAGUGAUAUCGGCUGUGUGGCAGUAUUUUUCAUUUAAGUCCGAAAAAAACGUUGCAGCUGAGUGCAAAACAUAUCAUGCAAAAGUUUGUGCCGGUAUUGGAUCAAUAUCGGUAUCAGCCAAUACUGAAAGCUACAAUAUCAGUAUCGUAUCCAAGAUAAAAUAGUUGUAUCGGGACACCCCUAGUCAUUUCAACCAAAUAUGACCAUCGGCCUUUUUCUCUAUUUUCUCUUCAAAAUACAACAAACCAUCACACACAAUGAGAGGUCACCUGUGCGUUAAAGAAGCAUCUUUUUUUGUGGUGUAUAUAAAGAAACUUUUAAUAUCAGUCAAGAGCUAUUAGUCAUUGAUGACAUUUGGUAAUAUAACGAUAUCGCUGUGUUUUGUUAUGUCUGUGUAGUCAACAUUUAAAAUUUUUUGAGCGGCCCACUCUUUCUGACUGUAAACAAAGCCAUUCUCCACCUCCCCCAUCCUGCUUGGUUGUGAGGCGGACGCUGCUCCCCCGUGUCGUUCAGGGGCCCAAACAAAGUCACCGUACCACAAUAUCAGACAGUAGAAACCAACCAGAAAGUACAGAAAAUUGUCUGAAUCCUCCUUUAGCCAUGACUGCCAACACAAGCAAGAAAAUGAAGUAAAUACUGGAGACUCUGGCGGAAUGACGGGCGCUUAAAACGGAGGUAGACCGGACAAGAGCUAAAAAAGCCGGGUCAACAAUGAUGGGGGACACUUCGGGAUCUUAAAGACCCUGUAAUCUUUCUGCUGGACAGGUAAACCGCUUUAACAAAGUAAGCCAAGGGUCUGUAACAGAAGUGUUUCUUGUCAGACGGGACCUGCUGCGUGUUGUAGCACCACUAAACUGUUGACCUCUGGUCCUGGACUAUGUCACUUUAUCCUAGUUAUAGAAGUCCUGCAAACAUUGUGUUUGCUGGUAGUCUGUUGACAUCUACAGUAGCACCAAUGCUUUUUACUUUAACGCUGACUGGGCCCCAUUUGAAAUUAUCUGAAGUAUUUAUCUGCAUUAUAUCUGAAUUUGAUUGAAACAAUAUGAGCGAGCAGGAGCAUCUGUUUGUAGGCGGGGCUUGCUGGAGCAGAGAGGGAGGGGAGAGGAGGAGCUGAGGGGAAAACUGGUUGGGAGGAGUAGAGUUUACAUUCAAGAUUUCUCCCAAAAACUGGAACUUCCUCAGAUCCUGACUACACCACCUUUAACAUAUGACGACAUUUCAGGCCUACAAUAAUACAAUAUUGAUAGUCAAUUAACUGAUAAUAAUGGUUCUAAGCUGUAUGAGUGAUGACCUUUAAUCAUUUAGUUGACCACACUCUUAGUGAGUUUGUUGGAUGUACGCAGAGUGUUCCUGAAUCGUGAUUUCUUUGUUUUGUUGAAAUGGAACAAUCAUAAAAGGAUUUAUUGUUAUUUUACCUUUAAGUUCAACCCUUUUUGAGGCUUUACAAUAUUGAAUUCAAGGAUCAAAAGUUCUUUACACAAUUCAUAUCAUUGACAUUUUGUGUGCUCACGGGUUGCACAUUGUGCCCCUGCAGAGAAAGCAAUCGAUGGCCUCAGCAUUUCUCUGUGGACCCACAAUCCUCUGCUGCUUGGGGGAGAGUGUUUGCCACACGGCAGCGUCCUGUUCCUAUGCCGCCCCUGGGAUCACUGUGC